GACGAACGCUGGCGGCGUGCUUAACACAUGCAAGUCGAACGGAAAGGCCUUUUCGGAGGUACUCGAGUGGCGAACGGGUGAGUAACACGUGGAUGAUCUGCCCUGCACUCUGGGAUAAGCCUGGGAAACUGGGUCUAAUACCGGAUAGGACCGCACUUUAGUGUGUGUGGUGGAAAGUUUUUUCGGUGUAGGAUGAGCCCGCGGCCUAUCAGCUUGUUGGUGGGGUAAUGGCCUACCAAGGCGGCGACGGGUAGCCGGACUGAGAGGUUGGUCGGCCACAUUGGGACUGAGAUACGGCCCAGACUCCUACGGGAGGCAGCAGUGGGGAAUAUUGCACAAUGGGCGCAAGCCUGAUGCAGCGACGCCGCGUGGGGGAUGACGGCCUUCGGGUUGUAAACUCCUUUCGCCAGGGACGAAGCGUUUUGUGACGGUACCUGGAGAAGAAGCACCGGCUAACUACGUG
rnacentral:rRNA from 1 species